GACGAACGCUGGCGGCAGGCCUAACACAUGCAAGUCGAGCGGACCUUUCGGGGUCAACGGCGGACGGGUGAGUAACGCGUGGGAAUAUGCCCUUCUCUACGGAAUAGUCCUGGGAAACUGGGGGUAAUACCGUAUACGCCCUUUGGGGGAAAGAUUUAUCGGGGAAGGAUUAGCCCGCGUUGGAUUAGGUAGUUGGUGGGGUAAUGGCCUACCAAGCCGACGAUCCAUAGCUGGUUUGAGAGGAUGAUCAGCCACACUGGGACUGAGACACGGCCCAGACUCCUACGGGAGGCAGCAGUGGGGAAUCUUAGACAAUGGGGGCAACCCUGAUCUAGCCAUGCCGCGUGAGUGAUGAAGGCCUUAGGGUUGUAAAGCUCUUUCAGCUGGGAAGAUAAUGACGGUACCAGCAGAAGAAGCCCCGGCUAACUCCGUG
rnacentral:rRNA from 1 species